rnacentral:rRNA from 1 species
UACGUAGGGUCCGAGCGUUGUCCGGAAUUAUUGGGCGUAAAGAGCUCGUAGGCGGCUUGUUGCGUCGACUGUGAAAACCUGCGGCUCAACCGUGUGGUCUGCAGUCGAUACGGGCAGGCUGGAGUUCGGUAGGGGAGACUGGAAUUCCUGGUGUAGCGGUGAAAUGCGCAGAUAUUGGAAGGAACACCAGUGGCGAAAGCGGCUUCCUGGUCCAGCACCGACGUUCAGGCACGAAAGCGUGGGGAGCAAACAGG